UACGUAGGGUGCGAGCGCUAAUCGGAAUUACUGGGCGUAAAGCGUGCGCAGGCGGUUCGUUGUGUCGGUGGUGAAAUCCCCGGGCUUAACCUGGGAAUGGCCAUGGAAACUGGCGAACUGGAGUGCGGCAGAGGGGGGUGGAAUUCCGCGUGUAGCAGUGAAAUGCGUAGAGAUGUGGAGGAACACCAGUGGCGAAGGCGACUUUCUGGGCUGUAACUGACGCUGAGGCGCGAAAGCGUGGGGAGCAAACAGG
rnacentral:rRNA from 1 species